CAGCGCUGCAUUUCACAGGGCCGCUUCAUUCCGUUAUUGCCUAGGAGGACAGAAAACAGAAAAGUUUUUUCUCAAAGUGUUGCAGACCGACAACCCGGGACCGUAGAGGACAGACCAGAGAACAGUAAGUGUUCUAUAUGUAUCUAUCUCUCUAUGUAAAGGCAUGAAUGUAUUUGCUUUUUGUUUGUGUUCAUCUUCUCACUCUGUGUGCUUUUAAAGCAAGGGAAGGGCUGUGAUAGCUCCAACGAAACAAUGUGAACGCGUAGUAGUGUAGGGUAUUGUGAAUUCCUAAAACGACAAAAUCUGUUCGGAUUUUAGAUCGACUCAGAAAUCCAGUCAAACAAUAUAGUUUCUCUCUCUGUCUCUCUCUCUCUCUCUCUCUCUCUCUCUCUCUCUCUCUCUCUCUCCCUCCCCCCUCUCUCUCACUCUCUCUCCCUCCCCCCUCUCUCAACACGCGGUAUGACAGCCGCGGUGCGUUUCACAGGGGCCGCUUCAUUCCGUUAUUGCCUAGGAGGACAGAAAACAGAAAAGUUUUUCUCAAAGUGUUGCAGACCGACAACCCGGGACCGUAGAGGACAGACCAGAGAACAGUAAGUGUUCUAUAUGUAUCUAUCUAUCUAUCUAUCUAUCUAUCUAUCUAUCUAUCUAUCUAUCUAUCUAUCUAUGUAAAGGCAUGAAUAUAUUUGCGUUUUUCGUGACUCGUGCGCCCUGAGAGUGGCAGCAAGUCACAGCAGCUCCUCACAGAGUUCGCGUUUUUGCCUUCUUAUUGUUGUUUUUUUGCACCUCAUUUAUACCCUUAUUGUUAUAACUGCAUGUUCGCACUUUUUGUCUUGUCUGUGAUGCUGCUGUGGCAAAAAAGAAAUUUCCCCAUGGGGGGGUCAAUAAAGGAAUAUUCUAUUCUAUUCUAUUUGUGUUUGUUCAUCUUCUCACUCUGUGUGCUUUUAAAGCAAGGGAAUGGCUGUGAUAGCUCCAACAAAACAAUGUGAACGCGUAGUAGUGUAGGGUAUUGUGAAUUCCUAGAACGACAAAAUCUGUUCGGAUUUUGGACAAAACCUGUUCGGAUUUUAGAUCAACUCAGAAAUCCAGUCAAACAAUAUAGUUUCUCUCUCUCUCUCUCUCUCUCCCUCCCCCCUCUCUCUCACUGUCUCUCCCUCCCCCCUCUCUCUCACUGUCUCUCCCUCCCCCCUCUCUCUCACUCUCUCUCCCUCCCCCCUCUCUCAACACGCGGUAUGACAGCAGCGCUGCGUUUCACAGGGGCCGCUUCAUUCCGUUAUUGCCUAGGAGGACAGAAAACAGAAAAGUUUUUCUCAAAGUGUUGCAGACCGACAACCCGGGACCGUAGAGGACAGACCAGAGAACAGUAAGUGUUCUAUAUGUAUCUAUCUAUCUAUCUAUCUAUCUAUCUAUCUAUCUAUCUAUGUAAAGGCAUGAAUAUAUUUGCGUUUUUCGUGACUCGUGCGCCCUGAGAGUGGCAGCAAGUCACAGCAGCUCCUCACAGAGUUCGCGUUUUUGCCUUCUUAUUGUUUUUUUGCACCUUAUUUAUACCCUUAUUGUUAUAACUGCAUGUUCGCACUUUUUGUCUUGUCUGUGAUGCUGCUGUGACAAAAAAAAAUUCCCCAUGGGGGGAUCAAUAAAGGAAUAUUCUAUUCUAUUCUAUUUGUUUGUGUUCAUCUUCUCACUCUGUGUGCUUUUAAAGCAAGGGAAAGGCUGUAAUAGCUCCAACGAAACAAUGUGAACGCGUAGUAGUGUAGGGUAUUGUGAAUUCCUAGAACGACAAAAUCUGUUCGGAUUUUAGAUCAACUCAGAAAUCCAGUCAAACAAUAUAGUUUGUCUCUCUCUCUCUCUCUCUCUCUCUCUCUCUCUCUCUCUCUCUCCCCCUCUCUCAACAUGCGUUUACAGGAUCUUGUUUUCCCUUCACAGCCGCGCUGCAUUCCACAGGGCCGUUCAUGCCGUUGUUGCCAAGGAGGACAGAAAAACAGAAAAGUUUACUCAAAAGGUUUGCAGACCGACAACUGGGACCGUAGAGGACAGACCAGAGAACAGUAAGUAUUCUCUAUCUAUCUAUCUAUCUAUCUAUCUAUCUAUCUAUCUAUCUAUCUAUCUAUGUAAAGACAUGAAUAUAUUUAUAUCACCGUGAUAGCUCCGUGUCCCCUAAGCCACAUUUCUCUCUCUGUCUCUGUUCUGCAGGCCGAAAGAAACGGAUGUCUCUCUCCGCGACCACUGAGUUGUGCAGUCGUUUUGGUCCCGCUCUGUUUCGUGAAUUGUAAAUUUGCUAUGCUCUUACGCUGAGUCGCAUUCAAUCAUUCGUUAGCUCACCUUCCUGACUGAACGAUUCGCUUCGAUUGGACUUAGCUGUUUUUGGUUGUCUAUCCGUAAGAGCAUAACAAAUACAUGACACAGAAACGAGUCUUUGAAUCCACACGCGCACACACACGCCCUCCACCCGUGAUGCGCAAAAUGCGCGGCGGAGGGUCGAGGUCAACUCACCCUCAGCUCUUUCUGCUUGUCAAAAUGGUUAUCUAAAAACUCACCUCUGCUACGCU